AUUGAACGCUGGCGGCAUGCUUUACACAUGCAAGUCGAACGGCAGCGCGGGCUUCGGCCUGGCGGCGGGUGGCGAACGGGUGAGUAAUACAUCGGAACGUGCCCAGUAGUGGGGGAUAGCUCGGCGAAAGCCGGAUUAAUACCGCAUACGACCUGAGGGUGAAAGCGGGGGAUCUUCGGACCUCGCGCUAUUGUAGCGGCCGAUGGCGGAUUAGCUAGUUGGUGGGGUAAAGGCCUACCAAGGCGACGAUCCGUAGCUGGUCUGAGAGGACGACCAGCCACACUGGGACUGAGACACGGCCCAGACUCCUGCGGGAGGCAGCAGUGGGGAAUUUUGGACAAUGGGCGAAAGCCUGAUCCAGCAAUGCCGCGUGUGUGAUGAAGGCCUUCGGGUUGUAAAGCACUUUUGGCGGGAACGAAAAGGAGUGUGCUAAUACCACGGUUCGAUGACGGUACCCGCAGAAUAAGCACCGGCUAACUACGUG
rnacentral:rRNA from 1 species